UGAUACCCUAUUAUUUUGAAUGUAAAUUGUUCUGUUUAGUACUAAUAGUUUUGAUCUUUAAAUUAAAAGAAUUUGACGGUAAUUUGAUCAUUCCAGAGGAACUUGUCCUUUAAUUGAUAACCCACGAUAAAUUUUACCUUAAUUUAUGGUUUGUAUAUCUCUGUUUAAGAAUAUUUUAAUAGGAUAUUUAUAUUCUAUCUUUAUUAUUUAUAUAAAAUAUAUCAGGUCAAGGUGCAGCUAUAUUAAGGGUUGAGAUGAGUUACAUUUAAAUUAUUAUUAUUGAAUGUGUAUAUUUAUUUAUAUAUUGAAAUUGGAUUUGGAAGUAAUAAUUAUUAUAUAUUA
rnacentral:rRNA from 1 species